UACGUAGGUGGCAAGCGUUGUCCGGAAUUAUUGGGCGUAAAGCGCGCGCAGGCGGUCCUUUAAGUCUGAUGUGAAAGCCCACGGCUCAACCGUGGAGGGUCAUUGGAAACUGGGGGGACUUGAGUGCAGAAGAGGAAAGCGGAAUUCCACGUGUAGCGGUGAAAUGCGUAGAGAUGUGGAGGAACACCAGUGGCGAAGGCGGCUUUCUGGUCUGUAACUGACGCUGAGGCGCGAAAGCGUGGGGGAGCAAACAGG
rnacentral:rRNA from 1 species